UCUGGUUGAUCCUGCCAGUGUCAUAUGCUUGUCUUAAAGAUUAAGCCAUGCAUGUCUAAGUAUAAGCGUAUUAUACAGCGAGACUGCGAAUGGCUCAUUAAACCAGUUACAAUUUUAUUUGAUCAUAACGUUAUCUACUCGGAUAACCUUGCUAACGCAUGGCUAAUACGUGCUAAAAACCUCGACUUCUGGAAGAGGUGCAUUUAUUAGUCACAAAACCAGCGCAAGCUUAUGGGCCAGCAAUGGUUCAUAGGUUUGGUUGGAUGGUGAAUCAUAAUAACUUAGCUGAUCGCAUGACCUUGUGUCGGCGACGGAUCAUUCAAGUUUCUGCCCUAUCAGCUUUCGAUGGUAGCGUAUUGGGCUACCAUGGCUUCAACGGGUAACGGGGAAUUAGGGUUCGAUUCCGGAGAGGAGGCCUGAGAGACGGCCUCCAGUUCCAAGGAAGGCAGCAGGCGCGCAAAUUACCCAAUACUGAAUCAGUGAGGUAGUGACAAGAAAUAUCAAAGUGCGGUCCUUUCGGAUCGCACUAUUGGAAUGAGCACAAUUUAAAUCUCUUAACGAGUAUCCACUGGAGGGCAAGUCUGGUGCCAGCAGCCGCGGUAAUUCCAGCUCCAGUAGCAUAUGUCAAAGUUGCUGCGGUUAAAACGCUCGUAGCCGAAAGUCGGGCGGAUUGUUUUGCCGGUGUUUGGUUAGGAGGAUGGCUUUCGGGCUGUCUUUUUAAUCAUUCAAAAGCAUCGGCUCGCCGUCCUUUUAUUUUCUGGAAGCGUGAAUCCUUGUCGUUCACUCGGCGGGAUUUGUGCUCUGGACUUUUACUGUGAAGAAAUUAGAGUGUUCAAAGCAGGCGUUACAAGCCUUGAAUACAUUAGCAUGGAAUAAUGGAAGAGGACAUUGGUCUACUUUUGUUGGUUUUGAUGGACCGAUGUAAUGAUUAAUAGGGAUAGUUGGGGGCACUCGUAUUCCGAUGCUAGAGGUGAAAUUCUUGGAUUUUCGGAAGACGAACUAAUGCGAAAGCAUCUGCCAAGGAUGUUUUCAUUGGUCAAGAACGAAAGUUAGGGGAUCGAAGACGAUCAGAUACCGUCGUAGUCCUAACCAUAAACGAUGCCGACUGUGGAUUGGAGGGUGUUUUAUUUUAUAUGACCCCUUCAGCACACCAAGGAAAACCUAAGUGUUUAGGUUCCGGGGGAACUAUUGUCGCAAGGCUGAAACUUAAAGGAAUUGACGGAAGGGCACACAAGAAACUGGAUUCUGCGGCUUAAUUUGACCCAACACGGGGAAACUUACCAGGUCCAGACACAAUGAGGAUUGACAGGUUAGAGACCUUUCUUAGAUUUUGUGGGGGGUGGUGCAUGGCCGUUCUUAGUUCGUGGAUCGAUCUGUCUACCUAAUCGUGAUAACGAACGAGACGCCUACCAAUAUCUAGACACGCCAGUGAUUAGGGGGAGGGGUCAAACUCUCUUUCUAAUUGCUGUGCGGCAGAAAUUUAUUUCUUCAUAUUGGGACAACCGGCGUCAAGCCGGGUGAAGAGGCGCAAUAACAGGUCUGUGAUGCCCUUAGAUGUUCUGGGCCGCACGCGUAAUACAAUGGGCAUGU
rnacentral:rRNA from 1 species